rnacentral:rRNA from 1 species
AUUGAACGCUGGCGGCAGGCCUAACACAUGCAAGUCGAACGAGCGGCGGACGGGUGAGUAAUGUAUGGGACUCUGCCCGAUAGAGGGGGAUAACUACUGGAAACGGUAGCUAAUACCGCAUACUAUAGGAUGAGCCCAUGUGGGAUUAGCUAGUUGGUGGGGUAAAGGCGCACCUAGGCGACGAUCUCUAGCUGGUCUGAGAGGAUGACCAGCCACACUGGGACUGAGACACGGCCCAGACUCCUACGGGAGGCAGCAGUGGGGAAUAUUGCACAAUGGGGGCAACCCUGAUGCAGCCAUGCCGCGUGUAUGAAGAAGGCCUUCGGUUUGUAAAGUACUUUCGGCGGGGAGGCGUUACCCGCAGAAGAAGCACCGGCUAACUCCGUGCCAGCAGCCGCGGUAAUAC